CUGCACAAAAUAAGGAACCCGUAUUUUAUUUUGGCGGGUCAAACUGACAGCACCCUUUAAGUUACGGGUCACAGGUGACUCGGAUCUCAAUCGCUGUUGCUGCUGUGGCUGUGGCCAGCUGCUCGUCUCGGCGUCUUCUAAACUUAUAGAAGAAUACGGCUGGAUCGAGGCUUACUAAAAAGGCCGAAGGAUUAAAUUGGGUGUUUCCUGUCGACCGCUCGACGGUCAGGUUUUUUCCCACCCCCUGUGUCACGUCAGGAUGGCGAGCUACCGGAUCACCGCAGCUUCGCGGUAGGAUUUAAAUGAACCAAGCUAUUUUUUCAUUCUGGACCUAUUUGCUCUGGAUCUUGAAAAAAAAGAAAACAAUCAGAUAUUGAUUGAUGGACUAUUGAUCACCUUGGAUUCAUGAAUGGACCAAAAUAGAAACUCUUGGGUGACAUCAGGGUUUAUUGUUUUGUUGCUGAGUGCUUGUUUUUUUUCCUUGUUGUGUUUUUGGUUAUAUUAUAGAAAAUCACUGUUAUUAUAAAUAUUAUUAUUAUUGCAUAUCUUCAUAUAUAUAUAUGAAAGAAAAAAACAAGUUGAAUACAAUAACUUAAACAUACUUUUGUCUAAUGGUAUUUUAUUCACACCCACGGGCUCCAUAGCCGAAUCUAUCUGAGCGCCAUUUGUUAUAUUUGGCCGUAGUCAGGCGCCUAGCCUUAAGUAGCGUUGCACGUGGCGAGCUAGCCAGGAGCUUGUGUGUGUGAAUAUUUUUUUUGGGCUACUUAUCAUUUUUGAACAUUUAUUUCAGUCUUGG